AAAAAUGUAAAUAACACCGAUCGCCUGGUCCCGUAAAUGAAAACCGGCCGCUCUCGGCACGGCUCGGCUCAACGCGCGUCUUCGUCCAUUUAUUUGUUGGGUGGCUCAACCGACGCGCCGACCCGUUAUUUCCCCCCCCCGGCCGAAAACUGCGCGUUUUACCGCACGCGAUACUCUCGUUAUUAGAGGCGAACUGAUUUCGAUCGCCGGGUUUCCGUCGGAAAACGAAAGAACUUCUCGCGGGAGCGCGUUGGACUUGCGCUUCUGAAAUUGCCGUACUUAAAAACGGCAUAAUAAGAGCGUGAAUAUGGCGGUAACGACCAAUUUUGACAUUCUGUCGGAAAUAAAAUGUAUUUUGGUUACGUAAUAAAAAAUCGAAAUCCAACGAAC